UACGUAGGGUGCAAGCGUUAAUCGGAAUUACUGGGCGUAAAGCGUGCGCAGGCGGCUUUGCAAGACAGAUGUGAAAUCCCCGGGCUUAACCUGGGAACUGCAUUUGUGACUGCAAGGCUAGAGUACGGUAGAGGGGGAUGGAAUUCCGCGUGUAGCAGUGAAAUGCGUAGAGAUGCGGAGGAACACCGAUGGCGAAGGCAGCCCCCUGGGUCGACACUGACGCUCAGGCACGAAAGCGUGGGGAGCAAACAGG
rnacentral:rRNA from 1 species